rnacentral:rRNA from 1 species
UACGUAGGGUGCGAGCGUUGUCCGGAAUUAUUGGGCGUAAAGAGCUUGUAGGCGGUUUGUCGCGUCUGCUGUGAAAUUCCAGGGCUUAACCCUGGGCUUGCAGUGGGUACGGGCAGACUAGAGUGUGGUAGGGGAGACUGGAAUUCCUGGUGUAGCGGUGAAAUGCGCAGAUAUCAGGAGGAACACCGAUGGCGAAGGCAGGUCUCUGGGUAGUAACUGACGCUGAGGAACGAAAGCGUGGGUAGCGAACAGG